CUCUUCUAAAGUUACAGUAGUAUGGUUAUAUUAUUAGUCUAAGUAUUCCAAGGAUUUUAUAAAAUUUACAAAAGUCUGUUGAUCCUAAUGUGAUGCUAUCAGUCAAAAUUCUGGUUAUUACCUUCAAAUGCUGCAUAUAAUAGAAAACAUUAAAUUUCUUGUCAAUUGAGAGCUUCCAUUAGAUUUUAAUUCCAAGUUUUUGCCAUCAGAGUUACUCUUUUGAAUUCUUCUCUCAGAACAAUUGUGAUCAUCUAUAAUUCAAAUUACUUUUCGUGAAAAAGAGUACUCUUAAACACAAGUCUGAUAACUUCGGAGAUUAUACCAUUGGACUAGAAAACACCCUCAAGGACUCCACAGUAAAAAAUUGCAUGAGGAUUGCUGACACAAUAUUUAGCAGAAAAGAGGAAGCAGUAAUAGAAAUGAGCUUUUUGUGUGAAGUUUAUUUCGCACAAAAAUUUACAGUAAUAUGAUUUGUCUUUGGUAAAAUUGGGAAUUGGAGACAGAGAAAUUACAUCUCAGAAGAAAACUGUAAUACACCUGUCUCUGCUAACAGUAAACCAAAUAGGUAACUUUCAGAAUGUGUCAAGGGCUUAUGUGAACCUCCUGCAUAUAUAUUUGUUUGUCAAUAUAUCAAUCACCCAUGGGUUUGGGAUGAGAGAUAUUUGACUAUUAGGAUAUCUGGCUACUCCCGUUUCUAUUUAUAGCUCCAGUGUUAUUCAGCACAGAACUAGUUUCUUAAAAUUUUUUCCAGGACUAGACAAACUCUACCUGAAACCCGAGAAGACAGACCUUGGCCUAUGUUUGGCAGAUCUCUCUCACCAUGGAGAAUACACUGGUAUGUCCAUCUCUCAUUGGCUUAUUGGUGGGUCAGUCCAUUGGGAGUCAACUUUAUGGAAGAUGUAAAAAGCAGCUUCUGGAAACACCGGAUUCACAGAUACAGAAGAAAUGUCAAUUCGAUGACAAGCUUAGUACUGCCAAAAAGGAGUAUGUAGAGGUCAAGUUAUCUUUAGAUAUUAUCAGGGUAGACAAAGUCUUUUCAGAUGCAUCGGCCCUAUAGAUACCUAUGAAAAGCUUAAGAAUACCAACUCAGUGCUAAUGGGCAUGAGGGUGGUGAGUGUGAGGAGUAGGCAGAGGUCAGAGUGGCCUAACUCAGUGAAAAAAAAUGGCCAGAGAGGAUGUGGCAGGGGGUUGGCUGAAGGCCCCCAGGGGUCCGAUGAUGCAUGGAGCCAUUGCCCAUAAUAGAGUGUAAUUUUAAUAUAAAAGGUCAGAAGCUGCCAUGUGAGAAAUAGGGUAAAGUAGGGAGACCAUGUGGGAGACUGUGACAGUGAUUGAGGCUGAGGAUGGUGAUGGUUAGACCCUGGGAAGCAGUGGAGGUAGAGAUGGAGAGAUGGGGUUGGGCCCAGGACCUGUGCUGCAGGCAGAGACCAUGGGGUUUGCUGAUGCCUCUGGGUGCAGAGAAGAGGUGAAUCAGGAUGAGGAUAAGGUGUCCUGUGCGAGCAUCUGCAUGACGGGGUGUCCUUCACUGCAACAGAGAGAGAUGGCAGAGGAGUGCAUCUGGAUGAUAGUUGUUUGGGGAGAAGACCAAAAACUUUGGACAUCAGAGUAGAAAUACAAAGCACUCCAAAUAAUGUAACACAGAAGAUUCAGAGGAAAUAUCAUGGAGUAUAAAUGUGAUGGGUCAUGAGGGAGUGAGGUAACUACAGCAGAGAAGACAUUCAAGGUCACCAGUAUAUUCCAUGAGAUAAAUUCAAUGGUCCUAUUGUUGGGCAGAGCCCUUCUUAGGUUUUCCAGUAUCAACAACACCACAGAGUCUCAAGAGAGAUCUACCCAAAUCCGUUCCUGUAAGCUGGGGCUUGAGUUUUGCAGAAUCUCCAUAGCUUAGCCUCCAUCACAUGUGUAUGUGUGUCCAGCACAUGCCAUAUACAGCAUAUUGAUGAAGCUUCUGUCUUUGACCAGGCUCUAGAUAGGCUCACCUGAGUUCUCUUCUACACUGGGGCUCAACUUUGGCCCAGGAAAUGUAGACUCAUCACAAAUUAUUGAGUCCACAUCUUCCCCUG
rnacentral:lncRNA from 13 species